rnacentral:rRNA from 1 species
CCUACGGGUGGCAGCAGUAGGGAAUAUUGCUCAAUGGGGGAAACCCUGAAGCAGCAACGCCGCGUGAGGGAUGAAGGUUCUCGGAUUGUAAACCCCUUUUGUUAGAGAAGAUAAUGACGGUAUCUAACGAAUAAGCACCGGCUAACUCCGUGCCAGCAGCCGCGGUAAUACGGAGGGAGCAAGCGUUAUUCGGAAUCACUGGGCGUAAAGGGCGCGUAGGCGGGAUAGCAAGUCAGGUGUGAAAUCCUAUGGGUUAACCAUAGAACUGCAGUUGAAACUGGUAUUCUUGAGUAUGCGAGAGGUAUGUGGAAUGCGUGGUGUAGCGGUGAAAUGCGUAGAGAUCAAGAAGAACUCUGAUUGCGAAGGCAGCCUGCUGGAACAUAACUGACGCUGAUGCGCGAAAGCGUGGGGAGCAAACAGGAUUAGAUACCCUAGUAGUC